rnacentral:rRNA from 1 species
UACGUAGGUGACCAGCGUUGUCCGGAAUUACUGGGCGUAAAGCGCGCGUAGGCGGCUUUGUAAGUUAGAGGUGAAAGCCCGGGGCUCAACCCCGGAACUGCCUUUAAAACUGCAUCGCUUGAAUCCGGGAGAGGUGAGUGGAAUUCCGAGUGUAGAGGUGAAAUUCGUAGAUAUUCGGAAGAACACCAGUGGCGAAGGCGGCUCACUGGACCGGCAUUGACGCUGAGGUGCGAAAGCGUGGGGAGCAAACAGG